GGGAUGGGGUGACUAGUGACAGAGUGUGGAAGAGGGUGACUAGGGACAGAGGGGGUGAUUAGUGACAGAGUGAGGGAGCGGGUGACACAGUGACAGAGUUAGGGAGGGAGUGACUAGUGACAGUCACCCCCUCCCUCCCUCUGUCACUAGUCACUCCCUCCGUCACUAGUCACUCCCUCACUCCAUCACCAGUCAUCCCCUCACUCCGUCACCAGUCACCCCUUCCCUCCCUCACUCUGCCACUAGUCAUCUUUUCCCUCCC
rnacentral:sRNA from 1 species